AAAUCUCUUGAUUUGGAGUUGUAAUGCAAAAGAUAUGACUACUCAAAGAUUGCUGAACUACAAACUCAGAAUUCGCUGUUUUGCAACUUUUUGCAUACUUUGAGGCCAAAUCACGUGUAUAUAGUGGGAAAUACUAUGUCAUGUAAUUCUAUGGCUUUCAAACAUCUCCCUCACAUCACCUCACUCAAAAUGACUCAAUUUUUCAUCAAACUCUCAAAUACUAGUGUUACUUCAGCAAAGACACUAUCAAGGUCUUGCACUAAGCUCAUACACUCACAAAUCCAGGAGUAAUGACUUCAACAAAACACUAGUAAUACUAUACCAUAAGAUCUCAACCACCAAACAAGCAACAAAGAAAAUAAAAUGCAAGAACAACUUACUUGGUAAGAGAAUGUGGGUCCAUAAUCUAUUGAAACAUUGAAAGCAUACUCCACACAAGUAAGUUAGGACCAGCAAGGUUGCACUAUAACAAAUAGAGUGUGGUAGUAUGAGAUAAUUCUUCCCAUGCCAACCCUUUCCUUAUAUACUAGUACCAAGGUACCAAGUGCUACAAUCCAUAUGAGAUAUCUCCUAGGACCAGCCCUCCCCUUGUACUCUAAUGUACUAUAGACCAGCCCCCUACCUUAUGGGAUAUCCUUAACAACACUUUUACUCUAUUGACCAUUAGCAACUACUUAAAGAGUUCUUUUCUCAACACUCCCACUUUGCUACUGGUCAAUUAGCUAUCAAUCCUAAUGCCUUGCUCAACUUGUUGUGUCCUUCUCUAACUAAGGCUUUUGUCAACAAAUCACCCAACAUGUCUUUGAUUUCACAAUACAUCAUAUCAAUAACCUCCAUCUCUAUCUUCUCUCUUAUGAAAUGAUGCUGAAUAUCAAUGUUUUUAGUUCUUGCAUGAUGCUUUGGAUUCUUUCCAAAAGUAAGACAUCCUUGAUUGUUAUACCUCAAUGGAGUAGCCUCCAAUUACACAAGUCCAAUAUCUUCCAAUAACAACCUCAACCAAAUUACCUCCAUUGCUUUAUGACUUGCUGCCAAAUACUCCGCCCCUAUUGUGGACCUUGCAAUGUUUGGUUGUCUAUUGCUAUUCAAAGAUAUGGCUCCCACUCAAACAAAGAAUACAUAGCCCAUUGUUGACCUUCAAUCGUUUGCAUCUCUCUUGGUUCUAAGCACUCACUUACAUCCAAUUGUUGUGGAAAGAUGUGGUUCUUUCACCAUUCACCUUGUGGUCUUCUCUCACGUGUUGGAUAUCUUCUUUCAUGCAAAGAAGAUGAGCCUUCUUGCACCUCUUGCUGCCUUGUAUGACUCAUGGAGUACUUUCUCUUACUCAUUUGUUGGUAUUCUUCAUCUUUAUUCUCUUCAUUGUCCUUGUUGUAUCUUGCUAGAAUUGAAGUCUUCAUAGUAUUGGGCUCUUCUAUCAUGGCAAGUUCCUCUUCUUCUUCACUUUGAGAAUGCUCUUCUUCAUCUUCUUGUUUGUUUGUUGGAAUUGAAGAUGUGUCCACAAACACACCACUACUCCCACUUGGACACAUCUCCCACUUUUCACUACCACUCAUAGAUGGUGUCCUCAUGGAUCCACAAACAUCCGAAUGCAAAAGCUCCAGCAAUUGGUUUGCUUUUCUUGCAACUCUUCUAGGAAAUGGUGUCCUAUGUUGUUUGCCUUGAAUGGAGUAUGAUUCAUGCUCAAAAGCUUGGAUAUGAGUAUUGGGCGGAAGCUGUGGUAAAUGCCGUAUAUACAAGAAAUAGGUGUCCCACAAGUGCACUUGAAGGAAUGACUCCCGAAGAAGCUUGGACUGGUAAGAAACCUUGUUUAUCUCAUAUGAGGAUUUUUGGAUGCAUUGCAUAUGCUAAAGUUCCAGAUAGUAUGAGAGGCAAACUUGAUGCAAAGGGCACAAGAUGUGCAUUCCUUGGAUAUUGUGAAGGCACCAAGGCAUAUAGGCUCAUGUGUUUAGACACCAAAAAGAUCAUCAAAAGUCGUGAUGUAGAGUUCUUGGAGUAUAAGAGUACAAGUGAAAAGUGGGAGAUGUGUCCAAGUGGGAGUAGUGGUGUAUUUGUGGACACAUCUUCUAUUUUAGCAAACAAAGAAGAAGAUGAAGAAGAGCAUUCUCAAAGUGAAGAUGGAAAUGAAGAUAUCAUUGAAGAAGAGCCCAACUCUAUAAAGACUUCAAUUCCAGCAAGAUACAACAAGGACAAUGAAGAGAAUGAAGAUGAAGAAUAUCAACCAAUGAAUGAGAGAAGGAAGUGUAUGAGCCAUAGAAGGCAGCAAGAGGUGCAUGAAGGCUCAUCUUCUUUGCACGAGAGAAGAUAUCCAACACGUGAAAGAAGACCACAAGGUAAAUGGUGGAAGAACCACAUCUUUCCACAAGUAAGUGAAGAUCAGGCCAAUGUUGCUCUUCUUGAUGAUCCAUUGACUUUGUGUGAUGCAAUGAGGUGUGGUGAUGCAAUGAAGUGGGAGAUUGCUAUGCAAGAAGAGUAUAAAUCUAUUAUGGACAACAAGACAUGGGAAUUGACUCCACUUCCACCAAAUCGUUCAGCAAUUGGAUGUAAGUGGGUGUUUAGAACCAAGAGAGAUGCUAUGGGCAAUGUUGUGAAGUACAAAGCAAGAUUGGUUGCCAAAGGCUACUCACAAGUUGCUGGAGUGGAUUUUAAUGAGACAUUUGCUCUAGUGGCCAAAUUCACUACCAUUAGAACCAUAGUAGCAAUUGGAGCAUCAAUAGACUUGGAGAUGCAUCAAAUGGACGUCAAGACAGCCUUCUUGAAUGGAGAAUUGGAAGAAGACAUCUACAUGGAGCAACCUCAAGGAUUUAUUGAUCAAGACAAACCCAACCUUGUAUGCAAGUUGAAGAAGUCAUUGUAUGGACUCAAGCAAUCACUAAGAGCAUGGUAUCAACGCAUUGACUCAUUCUUUGUGAAGGAAGGUUUUAUAAGAAGUGAAGCUGACUAUUCUUUGUAUGUGUUGCAAGCCAAGGACUUCUUGCUGGUUGUAAUCCUCUAUGUAGAUGAUUUAAUCAUCUUAAGCAACACCAUGGUAAAAUUAGAUUGGUUGAAGAAGAAAUUGGAGAAAGAGUUUGAAAUGAGUGAUUUGGGAGAGCUUCAUUAUUAUUUGGGUGUGGAAUUUACAAGGAAUAGAGUAUCAAAGACCAUCACAUUGAGUCAAAACAAGUACAUUGAAGAAGUAUUGAAACGAUUCAAUAUGCAAGAUUGCAAGCCCAUUGGAACUCCUUUGGAAGCCAACUUGAAGUUGAUGAAGCUCACGGAUGAGGAAUAUGCUGAAGUGGAGCAUCAAAUGCAAGGCAUACUAUACAAGGCAGCAGUAGGCUCACUCAUGUAUGCAAUGGUGGGUACAAGGAUGGAUCUUGCAUUUGCAGUAAGUGUUGUAAGUCAACACAUGGUAAAACCAGGUCCUAUUCAUUGGGCAACCAUCAAAAGAAUCAUAAGGUACUUGAAAGGCUCUUUGAACCAUAAACUAUGUCUUGGAGGAAAUAAUAUUGCAUUACAUGGAUAUUGUGAUGCGGAUUGGACUCGAGAUACAAAUGAUAGAAGAUCAACAACGGGCUAUGUAUUCUUUGUUGAAAUGGGAGCCAUAUCUUGGAAUUGUAAGAGACAACCAACCAUUGCAAGGUCCACAAUGGAGGCGGAGUAUAUGGCAGCAAGUCAUGGAGCAAUGGAGGCAAUUUGGUUGAGGUUGUUGUUGGAAGACAUUGGACUUGUGCAAUUGGAAGCCACUCCAUUGAGAUGUGACAAUCAAGGAUGUUUGGCUUUUGCAAAGAAUUCAAAGCAUCAUGCAAGAACCAAACACAUUGAUAUUCAACACCACUUUAUAAGAGAGAAGAUAGAGAUGGGAGUUAUUGAUAUGAUGUAUUGUGAAACCAAAGACAUGUUGGCUGAUUUGCUAACAAAAGCCUUGGUGAAAGAGAGACACAACAUAUUGAGUAAGGCAUUAGGAUUGAUAGCUAAUUGACCAAUAGCAAAGUGGGAGUGUUGAAGGAAUGAACUCAUUUAGUUGUUGCUAAUGGUCAAUAGAGUAUAUGAGUAAUGAGGGAUAUCCUACAAGGUUAGUUGCUGGUCUAUAGAACCUUAGAAUACAAGGAGAGGGCUGGUGCUAAGAGAUAUCCCAUAUGGGUUGUAACACAUGGUACUUUGGUACUAGUAUAUAACAAAAGGGUUGGCAUGGGAAGAAACAUCUCAUACCACAUUCUAUUUGUGAAGUGCAACCUUGCUGGUCCUAACUUGCUUAAGUGGAGUUUGUUUUCUAUGUUUCAAUAAGUUAAAGUAGAAUAAGUUACCUCGUAAAGGAUAAUAUCUUAUGUAAGUUUCUAAUGGUCAAAGGCUUGACUCUUGACAUAUAGAUAAAGCAUCCUAUAGACAUAGGAUGGGAUCAAGGACAAAGAGUCAAAGUCAAGAGGAUAAAGUGUGUCCUAGAGAAUAUCCAAAGAACUAGGUAAUAGUAAUUAGUAUAUGACAUACAAUACCCUCGUGUUAUGUAAGAUGCCAUAGGAUCCUACGAUCCUUGGAUACCCUUGUGGUAUAGUGAAACAUAGAAAGCAUACUCCACACAAGUAAAUUAAGACCAGCAAGGUUGCACUUUAACAAAUAGAGUGUGGUAUAAGAUAAUUCUUUCCAUGCCAACCCUUUCCUUAUAUACAAGUACCAAGGUACGACGUGCUACAAUCCAUAUGGGAUAUCUCCUAGGACCAGACCUCCUCUUAUACUUUUAUGUACUAUUGACCAGCACCUAACCUUAUGGGAUAUCCCUAACAACACUUGUACUCUAUUGACCAUUAGCAACUACUUAAAGAGUUCUUUCCUUCAAUACUCCCACUUUGCUAUUGGUCAAUUAGCUAUCAAUCCUAUUGCCUUACUCAACUUGUUGUGUCUUUCUCUAACUAAGGCUUUUGUCAAUAAAUCAGCCAAUAUGUCUUUGGUUUCACAAUACAUCAUACCAAUAAUCCGCAUUUCUAUCAUCUCCUUCUUAUCUCCUUGCGUUGUGAGGUUAAGACUUUGUAGAAAGACCUUGAUAGUGUCUUUUGAGUUGGUGAAGUUUCUUCAUUAUCCUUCAGUGUUUUGAUGAAAAAGUGAUUAAGACGAGUGAUUGUGAGUUCCAUGUGGGUGCAAUUACUUGAAAAAAGCUUCACAAGUUGAGUUGAAAGUGUUUUCAGUCAGAUACCACUCUUUUGUUCAUAACAGGGCAUUCUGAGAUUCUGCUAGUGCAAACCUCGUUUGGUGACUUUAAGCUUUUAGAGACUCCUUCUCUCAAUAUUUUUUCAUACACUCCUCCUUAGACAUGGCUUCUAUUGAGGGUGAAGGUUUGAGAGUGAUUCAGAAAUUUAGAGGCAACAAUUUCUACCAUUAGAAGGUCAAAAUGGUGCUUUUGUUGGCGUCUUUGGACAUUUGGGACAUUGUAGAUGAAAGUGAAGACCCUCCAAGCAUAAAUGCAAGCCCUAAGGACCACAAGGACUUCAAAAGACGUGAAAAGAAGGCUUUUGGUAUGAUUUCCACCAAUUUGGAUGAAGCCAACUUUUCUCACAUAAUCCAUUGCAAAGGACGAGCAGAAGCAUGGAAGAUACUUUGCAACAUAUAUGAGAGCAAGAACUUGUCCAUCAUCCUCUUCACAAGAAGGAAAUUCUUCACUUGUAAGAUAGAAGAAGGUGAAGACCUCAUGGCACAUGUUAAUAAGGUAAAGGCUCUUGCAAAUUAACUAGCAAUUGUUGAUAAGCCUUUAGAGGAUGGUGACAUUGUCAUGACUCUACUCAUGAGUCUUCCCGAGUCCUACAACUAUCUCAUUGUGGGAUUGGAGUCUGUAACGUUGAAAGAGCUUACAAUGGACUAUGUGACAUCAAGACUUGUACAUGAAGUAACUAAAAGGAAAGAGAAGGAGCAUCAAAGUGAAGAUUAAGCUCUCCUCUCAAGACAAGGCAAAGGUCCCUAUGCCAACCAACGUGACAAUGUGAGAAGCAAUGCAAGAACUUGCUUCAUUUGUGGAUAACCGGGUCAUUUUGUGCGAAAUUGCUAUAAGGCCAAGCAAGGAAAUAGAGAAAAUGAUAACAAUGUAUGUGAUGAAGUUGGUGGAGAUGAUUAUGCAUUCAUGGCAAAUGAAGGCACGUCUAUGGCUGCCAUGUCCAAAUGGAUCAUUGAUUCGGGUGCUACCAAGCACAUGACUCCAUACAAGUGUUCAUUUGACACUUAUGAGACUAUUCCAACAACAAAAGUAUGGUUAGGAGAUAAUGGCAUGGUGCAAGCUAUUGGAAUUGGCUCCAUUGUGGUGGAGAUUGUUGUGAAGAAUCAAAUGAAGAAGAUCAGAUUGAAAGAAGUGUUACAUGUGCCAAAGAUGAAGAAGAACCUUCUUUCGGUGAGUAAACUUGUUUCUCAUGGUUGUAAGGUGCAAUUUGAUAUGAAUGGAUGCUUUGUGAAGACAAUGGAUGGAGAUAAUCUUUUGAAAGGCUUUAGAGAUGGCAAUCUCUACUUCAUCAAUUGUAAGAAGGUGAAUGGAGUUGAAGUGGCCGCAUUUGCUGAUUUUCCAGAAGAUCAAGACAAGUUUGGCAUUUAGCAUCCACGCCCUGGUCAUUUGAAUGCCAAAAGUAUGAAGGAGCUCCAAUCCAUGGUUAGUGGCUUAGAUCUUGGUCAAUCAUGCACAUAUCUUACUUGUGAAGGUUGUAUUCAAGACAAACAACAAAGAGCCUCAUUUCCAAGUGGAAUUGCAACACGUGCAACCAAAUCGUUGGAGAUUGUGCAUUCUGAUGUUUGGGGACCUAUGAGGACACCAUCAAUGGUAGGAUCAACAUACUUUGUUACAUUUAUUGAUGACUUUUGAAGAAGGUGUGGAUUUUCAUCCUUAAAUCCAAGAAUGAAUGCUUUUCAAAGUAUAAGGAAUUUAAGGCACUUGUGGAGAAGCAAUGUGAGUGCAGGAUCAAGGUUUUGCAUACAAACAAUUGAGGUACCAAGGCAUAUAGGCUAAUGUGUUUGGAUACCAAGAGGAUUAUCAAAAAUCGUGAUGUUGAAUUUAUGGAGCAUAAAAGUGCUUGUGAGCACUUGGAGAUGUAUCGAAGUGGGAGUAAUGGUGUGUUUGUGGACACAUCUUCAAUUUCAGCAACGAAAGAAGAAGAAGAAGAUGAAGACAAUGAAGAAAGUGCAGAUUUGAAUCUACAUGAACCAAAGAAGAUGAAAAAGAAGAAGAAGAAAGUCUAUACAAUUGGGAUGACAAACAAUGAUGAAGUUGAAGAUAAUGAUGAUAAUGAGGAAUACCAACCUUUGAGUGAGAAGAGACAAGGUUCAAAAAAAAAAAAGGUUAGAGACCAUCAAGGUGAAUAUUCUUCAAAUGAUAGGAGAUAUCCUACAAGAGAAAGAAAACAACGUGGUGAAUGGUGGAAGGACCAUAUCUUUCCCCAAGUAAGUGAAGAACAUGCCAAUGUUGCACUCCUUGCUGAUCCAUUGAAUAUAUGUGAUGCUAUGAAGUCUACGAAUGCGUUGAAGUGGGAGGAGGCUAUAGAAGAAGAGUACAAAUCUCUCAUGAGCAAUGGAACAUGAGAAUUGACUCAACUUCCACCUAAUCGAUCUUCAAUUGGUUGUCAGUGGGUGUUUAGAACCAAGAGGGAUGCAAUGGGUGAUGUUGUGAGAUAUAUAUUGAAACAUAGAAAGCAUACUCCACACAAGUAAGUUAGGACCAGCAAAAGUAAGUUAGAACCAACAAGGUUGCACUAUAAUAAAUAGAGUGUGGUAUGAGAUAAUUCUUCCCAUGCCAACCCUUUCCGUAUAUACUAGUACCAAGGUACCAAGUGCUACAAUACAUAAGGGAUAUCUCCUAGGACCAGUCCUCCCCUAGUACUCUAAUGCACUAUAGAUCAGCACCCUACCUUAUGGGAUAUCCUUAACAACACUUGUACUCUAUUGACCAUUAGCAACUACUUAAAGAAAUCUUUUCUCAACACUCCCACUUUGCUAUUGGUCAAUUAGCUAUCAAUCCUAAUGCCUUACUCAACUUGUUGUGUCCUUCUUUAACUAAGGCUUUUGUCAACAGAUCAGCCAACAUGUCUUUGGUUUCACAAUACAUCAUAUCAAUAAUAUCCAUCUCUAUCUUCUCUCUUAUGAAAUGAUGCUGAAUAUCAAUGUACUUAAUUCUUGCAUGUUGCCUUGGAAUCUUUGCAAAAAUAAGACAUCCUUGAUUAUCACACCUCAAUGGAGUAGUCUCCAAUUGCACAAGUCCAAUAUCUUCCAAUAACAACCUCAACCAAAUUGCCUCCAUUGCUUUAUGACUUGCUGCCAAAUACUCCGCCCCUAUUGUGGACCUUGCAAUGUUUGGUUGUGUCUUGCUAUUCGAAGAUAUGGCUCCCACUCAAACAAAGAAUACAUAGCCCAUUGUUGACAUUCAAUCGUUUGCAUCUCUCUUGGUUCUAAUUAUUGAAACAUAGAAAGCAAACUCCAUACAAGCAAGUUAGGACCAGCAAGGUUGCACUUCACAAAUAGAAUGUGGUAUGAGAUGAUUCUUCCUAUGCCAACCCUUUUCUUAUAUACUAGUACCAAGAUACCAUGUGUUACAACCCAUAUGGGAUACCUCUUAGCACCAGCCCUCUCCUUGUAUUCUAAGGCACUAUAGACCAGCAACUAACCUUGUAGGAUAUCCCUCAUUAUUCAUAUACUCUAUUGACCAUUAGCAACAACUAAAUGAGUUCUUUCCUUCAACACUCCCACUUUGCUAUUGGUCAAUUAACUAUCAAUCCUAAUGCCUUACUCAAUAUGUUGUGUCUCUCUUUCACCAAGGCUUUUGUUAGCAAAUCAGCCAACAUGUCUUUGGUUUCACUAUACAUCAUAUCAAUAACUCCCAUCUCUAUCUUCACUUCUUAUAAAACCUUCCUUCACAAAGAAUGAGUCAAUGCGUUGAUACCAUGCUCUUGAUGAUUGCUUGAGUCCAUACAAUGACUUCUUCAACUUGCAUACAAGGUUGGGUUUGUCUUGAUCAAUAAAUCCUAGAGGUUGCUCCAUGUAGAUGUCUUCUUCCAAUUCUCCAUUCAAGAAGGCUGUCUUGACGUCCAUUUGAUGCAUCUCCAAGUCUAUUGAUGCUCCAAUUGCUACUAUGGUUCUAAUGGUAGUGAAUUUGGCCACUAGAGCAAAUGUCUCAUUAAAAUCCACUCCAGCAACUUGUGAGUAGCCUUUGGCAACCAAUCUUGCUUUGUACCUCACAACAUUGCCCAUAGCAUCUCUCUUGGUUCUAAACACCCACUUACAUCCAAUUGCUGAACGAUUUGGUGGAAGUGGAGUCAACUCCCAUGUCUUGUUGUCCAUAAAAGAUUUGUACUCUUCUUGCAUAGCAAUCUCCCACUUCAUUGCAUCACCACACCUCAUUGCAUCACACAAAGUCAAUGGAUCAUCAAGAAGAGCAACAUUGGCCUGAUCUUCACUUACUUGUGGAAAGAUGUGGUUCUUCCACCAUUCACCUUGUGGUCUUCUUUCACGUGUUGGAUAUCUUUUCUCAUGCAAAGAAGAUGAGCCUUCAUGCACCUCUUGCUGCCUUCUAUGGCUCAUACACUUCCUUCUCUCAUUCAUUGGUUGAUAUUCUUCAUCUUCAUUCUCUUCAUUGUCCUUGUUGUAUCUUGCUGGAAUUGAAGUCUUUAUAGAGUUGGGCUCUUCUUCAAUGAUAUCUUCAUUUCCAUCUUCACUUUGAGAAUGCUCUUCUUCAUCUUCUUCUUUGUUUGCUGAAAUUGAAGAUGUGUCCACAAAUACACCACUACUCCCACUUGGACACAUCUCCCACUUUUCACUUGUACUCUUAUACUCCAAGAACUCUACAUCACGACUUUUGAUGAUCUUUUUGGUGUCUAAACACAUGAGCCUAUAUGCCUUGGUGCCUUCACAAUAUCCAAGGAAUGCACAUCUUGUGCCCUUUGCAUCAAGUUUGCCUCUCAUACUAUCUGGAACUUUAGCAUAUGCAAUGCAUCCAAAAAUCCUCAUAUGAGAUAAACAAGGUUUCUUACCAGUCCAAGCUUCUUCGGGAGUCAUUCCUUCAAGUGUACUUGUGGGACACCUAUUUCUUGUAUAUACGGCAUUUACCACAGCUUCCGCUCAAUACUCAUAUCCAAGCUUUUGAGCAUGAAUCAUACUCCUUGCCAUCUCCACAAUGGUGCGAUUUGCUCUUUCAGCAACUCCAUUUUGUUGUGGGGUAUAGGGAGUGGAGGUUUGUCUUGCAAUGCCUUCAUGCUUCAAUAACUCAUCAAAGUCUUUGGACAAAUACUCACCUCCAUUGUCCGAUUGCAGCACCUUAAUCUUGUGCUCACAUUGCUUCUCCACAAGUGCUUUCCACUCCUUAAACUUAGCAAAACACUCACUUUUGGCCUUGAUGAUAUAAAUCCAUACCUUCCUUGAAAAGUCAUCAAUAAAUGUGACAAAAUAUCUUGCUCUACUCAUAGAUGGUGUUUUCAUGGGUCCACAAACAUCCGAAUGCACAAUUUCUAGUAAUUGAUUUGCUCUUGUUGCAAUUCCACUUGGAAAUGGUGUCUUAUGUUGUUUGCCUUGAAUGCAACCUUCACAAGAUAGAUUCAUAGUAGAAUGGCCAAGGUCUAAGCCACUUACCAUGGAUUGAAGCUCCUUCAUGCUUUUGGCAUUCAAAUGUCCAAGUCUUUGAUGCCAAAUGCCCACCUUAUCUUCAUUUGAUGGAAAUUCAGCAAAAGCAGCAACCUCUUCUCCAUUGAUGCGCUUGCAAUUGAUAAUAUAGAGAUUGCCAUCUCUAAUCCCUUUUGCUACUUCUUUGCCUUCCAUGGUUCUCACAAAACAUCCAUUCAUAUUGAAUUGCACUUUGCAUCCAUGACUUACAAGUUUAUUCACCGAAAGGAGGUUCUUCUUCAUCUUUGGCACAUGCAACACAUCCUUGAGUGUGAUCCUCUUGCUUAUGCCCUUGACCACUACUUCCACUACAAUGGUACCCAUUCCAAUGGCUUGUACCAUACCAUUAUCACCUAACCAAACCUUAGUUGCUGGAAUUGGUUGAUAAGUGUUAAAUGAACACUUGUAUGGAGUCAUGUGUUUGGUACAUCCAGAAUCCACGAUCCAUUUGCUCAUAUCAAGCAUGGAAGAAGUUUGUUUUGCCAUGAAUGCAAAGUCAUCACCUCCAUGGUCAUGAAAAGCAUUAUUGGCAUUCUCUCUUUCUCCUCUCUUUGCCUUGAAACAAUUCUUAGCAAAAUGCCCUGGUUUUCCACAAAUAUAACAAGUUUUGGGAAGAUUACGUUGAAUGGAAGUACUUGUCUUACUUGGUCUCGUGAAUAGUGCUGAUUGCUCUCCAAUAGACUCCUUUUGCUUUCUUUUGGUCACUUCAUGGGCUAGUCUUGUCGUGACAUAGUCCAAAGUAAGAUCUUUUCUUGAAAUUGACUCCAAUGCCACAAUGAGGGAGGAAUAGGAGUCCGGAAGGCUUGAGAGCAAUUUCAUCACAACAUCUUCUUCAGAUAAAGGCUUGUCAAUAACAGCAAGUUGGUUUGCAAGUGCUUUUACCUUAUUUACAUGAGCCAUGAGAUCUUCACCUUCUUCCAUCUUCACGGUGAAGAAUUUUUGCCUUGACCAUAGUACAUUGGAGAGAUUUCUACUCUCAUAGACGUUGCAAAGAGUCUUCCAUGCCUCUGCUGCCCCUUUGCAAGAAAUGACAUGAGCAAAGUUGCUCUCAUCUAAAUUGGUGGCAAUUAUGCCAAAAGCCUUCUUUUCUCGUCUUUUGAACUCCUUAUGCUCCUUGAUGCUUGCCUCUACCCCAGGUGCCUCUUCCUCCUCACAUACAAUCUCCCAAAGAUCCAAUGACGCCAAAAGUAGCUCCAUUUUGGCCUUCCAGUGGUGAAAGUUGUCACCUUUGAACUUUUCAACCAUUCUCAAGCUAUCACCCUGUCACGGACAUACAUAUAAUUACCUAUAUGAAUAGAUAAAAGUAUGUAAAAGUAGAUAAAAGUAGGUUAAUUGUGUAAUAUCUUCUAGAGAAGCUUCUUAAAAGCUUCAUAGACGCUACUUUGACUUUAUAGGAGUCUAUAGUUGACUUUUAGGCUAGAAACUUGGUCAACAUGUUAGCCAUGUGCCACACAUAUUGGAAGCUUAAAGAACAAGCUAACUACGUGGUCCAUCCAUAGAAAACUUGCCUUGUAAUCAAAGGCAUGUGGCCUAGAAAGUCAACAUAUAUUGGAGGUCUUAUAGAACAUCGCCAUGUGGCUUCUAGUUAGAUAGUAUAUAUAGAGGCAAGAGUGAAGCCCUCUUCACUCUUGUCAACUCCUUUCUUGCUUCUAGUCCAGUUUUAAGGGUCUCUAGUUUUCUUGUAUUUUGGCAAUAGCCAUUCUAAUUUCUUUCUUAAUAUACAUAUUUCUAUUUUGUCCUAUUUCUUUGAGAAAAGUCUCACUUAUUCUUUAGCUUUCAUCGAGUUCUUGUCCUUGACAGAUUGACAAGAGUACACUUACAAUAUGAGAGCUUUGUCUUUUCUUGAUUAAGAGUGGAUUACCCCUUUUUCUUGAUAAGACAUAAGCGCAUUAGAAGUUGCGGAUUACCCUCUUUUAAACUGAUAUUGUUCUUAGUAUUUUCUUUGUUAUCAAUUCCUCUCUUCUAUUUGUUUUGAGCAUUAUUAGACAUCUUCUCUUUUCUAAGUGCUACUAUGGCAGAGCUUGUUGAAAUGAAGAGUGCAAUGGCACAGAUGCAAGAACAAUUGAGGGAGUUAAUGCUUGCGAUGCAUCAACUCAAUUUACCACCACAAUGAGCAACAAGAAUGGUAGGAAGUGAAGAUAUAGAGAUGAUUGGGGCUGCUUCAACAUCUGCACCAAACCAUGUCCCUUCUCCCAGAAUGGAACACCCUUCGAGUGUUAGAGAACCGAGAGUGGCCUUGCCCGAGAAGUUUGAUGGUACCAGAUCCAAGUUUCGAGGAUUCAUCAAUCAGGUCCAAUUAGUGAUUGAACUUCAACCCCUGAGCUAUCCAACUCCAGGGUCACAAGUUAGAUUCAUUGGUACACUUCUUUCAGGUUCAGCAUUGUCAUGGUUUUCAUCUUUUCUUGAACGACGAGAUCCAAUAUUGGAUAAUCUGGAGGCUUUUUUGGCGGAGUUUCGAUCCAUGUUUGGAGAACAUGAUGCAAUUCGUGUUGCAACCAACAAGAUCCGUAUUUUGCGACAAGGCAAUCGAUCAGUAACAUUAUAUGCUUCGCAAUUUUGACAACUUGCAACUGAUAUCAAGUGGGAUGAUGCCGCACUUGUGAGUCAAUUUUUCUACGGAUUACAAUAUGAGGUAAAGAAAUUGAUGCUUAAUUUACCUGAUCCUCAAACAUUGAGUCAAGCAAUUGACUUUGCUGUGAAGUGCGAUAAUCGACUUUUUGAAUUUCGAUUCGAGAGUCGCACAAGUAGGCCUCAACGUUACUACAAUUCAAUGGCAACACCGACGUCUCCUCAACACAUACCUUCAGAAGUAGAGGAUAUGCAAAUUGAUGCGGUACGUUUCAAACCUCUUACUGAGCAAGAAAAGUCUCGUCGUCGACAAGAAGGAUUGUGCUUAUAUUGUGGAGAACCUAAGCACACUGCUCAACAUUGUUCAAAGAAGCGACGUAACUACAAAAUGAGGAGUACGGCUGUCAAAGAAGACAAUAUGUCAGAAAACGAGUACGUCUAGCUACAAUAGGGACCGUGCGGCUGGAAUCUUGUACAACUUCUAAUGAAGGUCCUAUCCUCUCCUCAGAACCAUCUCCUUGUUUUAUAAUAGAUGUGCGUUUAGGACCUAAUAAUUACAAAGCCUCUGCCUUGAUAGAUUCAGGAGCCUCAGCUUAUUUUUUAGAUGAAGAAUUUGCUAGAUGUCAUAGAAUAUCAUUAAUACAAAAAACUAAACCUGUACACGUAGAAGUCAUAGAUGGUCGUCCGUUGUCUUCUAGAGAUGUAACUCACGAAACACUUCCUAUAGAUGUAGUAAUAAAAGGUCAUAGUAGUUGCGUAAUUUUUAAUAUAAUUAGAUCUCCCUCUAAUCCAGUAAUUUUAGGCUUAUCAUGGUUAGAAAAGUAUAAUCCUCGAAUAGAUUGGAUUUCUCGUAAACUUGAUUUUCCUCGGAGCAUUAGUAACAGUUCUAUUAAUCAAGUAAAAAAACCAUGAGUCUAGUAUAGUAAAACCCGCACUUAUAGGUGCAAAAGCAUUUAUACACGCAGCAAAAGAAGGAUCAACUUUUGCUAUUUAUGCUGCACCUAUUUCUGAAAGCGUAAAGACUUCAAGUGACAUUCCAAGUCAAUAUCAAGAUUAUCAAGACGUUUUUGAGAAAAAAAAUGCAGAUAUUCUUCCUGAGCAUCGCCCAUACGAUUGUUCAAUCGAUCUCAAGGAAGGAACUCAGCCACCAUUUGGACCAAUUUACAGUUUAUUGCAAGAUGAGUUGGCUGAAUUCAAGACAUAUAUUGACGAGAAUUUAGCGAAGAAUUUCAUAAGCCAUUCAAAAUCUCCAGCAGGAGCUCCAAUUUUAUUCAUAAAGAAAAAAGAUGGAUCUUUACGAAUGUGUGUUGACUAUCGAGGACUCAACAAGAUUACAAUCAAGAACAGGUAUCCAUUACCUUUGAUAUCAGGACUCCUUGACCAGUUAAAUCAAGCUAAGAUCUAUACAAAAGUAGAUCUAAGAGGAGCAUAUAAUCUAGUACGGAUCAAAGAAGGAGAUGAAUGGAAGACUGCGUUUCGAACCAGGUACGGACACUUUGAAUACAAUGUCAUGCCUUUUGGACUCACGAAUGCACCAGCUGCUUUUCAACAUCUCAUGAAUGAUGUAUUUCGUGAAUUCUUAGACAAUUUUGUCGUCUGCUACCUAGACGAUAUCCUGAUUUAUUCUAAGAAUGUUGAAAAACAUGAAAUACAUGUUCGUCAAGUAUUACAAAAACUUAGAGAUGCAGGAUUGUACGCCAAGAUAGAAAAGUGUGUAUUUCACAUUACUCAAGUUGGCUUUUUAGGAUACAUCAUUUCAAAUGAUGGUCUUAUGAUGGAUUCUAAGAAAGUCCAAACAAUCAUGGAUUGGAAGAUUCCAAAGACUGUAAGAGAUGUCCAAUGUUUCUUGGGAUUUGUCAAUUACUAUCGGAUCUUCAUCAAAGACUUCUCACGAGUUGCAGCUCCACUUACACGCUUGACUAGUAAAGAUAAAUUCUAAUGGAAUCAAGAAGCGGAAGCAGCAUUUGAAGCCUUGAAGACAUCGUUUGUCUCUGCACCAGUCUUAUAUCGUGUUGACUUUUCCAAGGUAUUUUUUAUGGAAACAGACGCAUCGGAUUUUGCCUUGGGUGCAGUUUUAUCACAAAUGGGAACAGAUGACAAACUUCAUCCGAUAGCUUUUCAUUCAAGAAAAUUCUCAACAGCCGAGAUCAAUUAUGAGAUCCACAAUAAAGAACUUCUUGCAAUCGUGGAUUCUUUUCAAGAAUGGCGUCAUUAUCUAGAAGGUGCUUCUAGUCCAGUCACUGUGUAUACAGAUCACAAGAACCUCGAGUAUUUCAUGUCAGCACACGUGUUGAAUCGUCGUCAAGCUCGUUGGAAUAUGUCUUUGUCAAGAUUCGACUUCAUUAUCACUUAUCGGCCAGGAAAACAACAAGGUUUGUCCGAUGCCCUGUCUAGACGUUCUUAUUUUGCACCAAAAGAAGGAGAUGCAGCUUUUGAGCAACAAAAAACGGUCCUCUUGAAACCGGAGCAAUUUCGUCUCCGAGCAGUGAAAUCAACACUGACUGUUGAUUCAACUUUUCUCAAGCAAAUCCAGUCCAGUAUGUCCUCAGACCCUCUUGUUUAUGAUAUCGAGAAUAAUUCUUCCAAGUCUCAUGAUUCUUCUAAGUUCGAGUUCAAGAAUAAUCUAUUAUAUUUUGAAGGACGCCUAUAUGUUCCAGAAGGAAAAGCACGUUUGCGUGUUCUUCAAGCACGUCAUGACUUUCCAGCAGCAGGUCACUUUGGAUAUAAUAAGACUCUGGAACUCAUAUCAAGAGAUUUUUGGUGGCCACAAAUGUGGAAGUCAGUCAAAGACUUUGUACAAUCAUGUGAUAUUUGUUCAAGAUCAAAAAUUCCUCGACAUCGACCUUACGGACUUCUUCAGCCAUUACCUAUACUAGAACAACCAUGGUCUUCUGUUUCUAUGGAUUUCAUCACAGAUCUUCCAAACUCAAGAUCUUAUGAUUCUAUAUUUGUGAUAGUAGAUCGUUUCACCAAGAUGACACAUUUUGUGCCAUGUACAAAAUCUAUCACAGGUGAAGAAACAGCUAAGCUUUUCAUUGAUAAUAUCUAUCGCUAUCAUGGAUUACCUAAAGAUAUCAUAUCGGAUAGGGGAACUCAAUUUGUGUCGAGAUUCUGGAGGACUCUUUUCAAGAUUUUAAAAGUGGACAUAAAGCUAUCUUCAGCUUUCCAUCCUCAAACUGAUGGACAAACAGAGCGCGUAAACCAAGUCUGGGAACAGUAUUUAAGGUGUACCAUCAACUACCAACAAGAUGAUUGGACAAUCCUUCUGCCAUUGGCAGAGUUUGCUUAUAAUAAUACAGUACAUUCUUCCACGCAACAAACACCUUUCUUUGCCAAGUAUGGCUAUCAUCCACGACUUGAUACUUUUGAUUUUUCAAAAGUUGAUAAUCCUGCAGCAGAAGAUAUGGCAAAUCGGUUGUCAGAGUUACAUGCAAUAAUGAAGGCGCAGUUGAAGAAAGCUCAAGAACGACAAAAGAUAAAUGCAGAUGUAUAUAAUAAAGAGCAACCACAACUCAACGUGGGUGAUAAGGUAUGGCUACUUCGUCGCAAUAUCAAGACCACUCGAGCUUGUGACAAAUUGGACUAUCGUAGGCUUGGCCCCUUUUCUGUUUCUGAACAGAUCAACCCAGUUGCAUAUCGGUUACAUCUACCGGAGUCAAUGAAGAUCCAUCUUGUAUUCCACGUGUCUCUUCUUGAACCAUAUAAGACAGUGGAUAUACAAGGAAGAAGACAAAUGCCACCGCCUCCUAUAGAAGUAGAUAAUAAUGAAGAAUUUGAGGUGGAAGAGAUAUUAGACUCAAGGCGGCGCCGAAAUAAGCUGGAAUAUCUUGUUCAUUGGCGCGGAUAUGAUAUUAGUGAGCGCACAUGGGAGCCAUCCAGGAAUCUAGCAAAUGCAUCAGCUAAAGUCAAAGUUUUUCAUCAACGACAUCCAUCAAAACCAAGAUGAAAACCUCUCUUAUAAAAGAGACAAGAUUGAGGCAAGAUAACAUUCAAUUUCCUUGUUUGUAACUUCUUUGCAUUUGUGACGCUAAUUAGAUGGAGAGCCAACAACCAGCGGAUUCAACUCAAGAACCUUCGUUUGCUGACUUACCGGAUGAGACAUUGCGAUUGUCACAACCUUCAAGAUGAUGCAACCGAGAUGAAGAUCCUCAAGAACGACAUGUUCUUCCUCGAAUAGAUGGUGAGAUACAACGCAUUUGGUAUCACGACCUUGGAAGAGAUUCUCGAUGUUUGGUGAUAUUAUUGGAGAUAGGAACGACUCCUGAUGGUGUUUCAAAUGUAUUAUUUGAAAGAAGUUAUGAAGGCCUCAACAGUGAUCAAAUAACAGGGUGGUCUUCUCGCCCUGGAAUGGGACACUAUCGAUGGCUAAGAGGACCCAUCAACUAUCUUCGAAGAGAACAAUUAUCAGAGUAUGUAGCAAAUACAAUUCGCCGCAUAUUAGAUUUUCUCAAUAUAUAAUCACCGCUCCUCGUGGAACUCGUCCCUAGAAGGGGGGGUAAUGUCACGGACAUACAUAUAAUGACCUAUAUGAAUAGAUAAAAGUAUGUAAAAGUAGAUAAAAGUAGGUUAAUUGUGUAAUAUCUUCUAGAGAAGCUUCUUAGAAGCUUCAUAGACGCUGCUUUGACUUUAUAGGAGUCUAUAGUUGACUUUUAGGCUAGAAACUUGAUCAACAAGUUAGCCAUGUGCCACACAUGUUGGAAGCUUAAAGAACAAGCUAACUACGUGGUCCAUCCAUAGAAAACUUGCCUUGUAAGCAAAGGCAUGUGGCCUAGAAAGUCAACAUAUAUUGGAGGUCUUAUAGAACAUCGCCAUGUGGCUUCUAGUUAGAUAGUAUAUAUAGAGGCAAGAGUGAAGCCCUCUUCACUCUUGUCAACUCCUUUCUUGCUUCUAGUCCAGUUUCAAGGGUCUCUAGUUUUCUUGUAUUUUGGCAAUAGCCAUUCUAAUUUCUUUCUUAAUAUACAUAUUUCUAUUUUGUCCUAUUUCUUUGAGAAAAGUCUCACUUACUCUUUAGCUUUCAUCGAGUUCUUGUCAUUGACACACCCUCAAAAGAUGCCAUCUCAAGCUACACGUAGGUCCAAAAAAACUCUUGAUUUGGAGUUGUAAUGGAGAAGAUAUCACUACUCAAAGAUCGCUGAACCACAAACCCAGAAUUCGCUGUUUUGUAACUUUUUGUAAAUUAUGAGUCCAAAUCACGUCUAAAUGGUGGGGAAUGAAUUGUAAAGUAAUUCUAUGGCUCUCAUUAGUCUCCCUCACGUCACUCCACUCAAAAUGACUCACUAUCUCAUGAAACUUUCAAACACUAGUGUUACUUCAGCAAAGAUACUAUCAAGGUCUUGCACAAAACUCAUAUACUCACAAAUCCAGGAGCAAUGACUUCAACAACAUACUAGCAACACUCUACCAUAAGAUCCCAACCACCAAAGUAAGCAACAAAGAAAAUAAUGCAAGAACAACUUACUUGGUAAGAGAGUGUGGGCCCAUAACCUAUUGAAACAUAGAAAGCAAACUCCACACAAGCAAGUUAGGACCAGCAAGGUUGCACUUCAUAAAUAGAAUGUGGUAUGAGAUGAUUCUUUCCAUGCCAACCCUUUUCUUAUAUACUAGUACCAAGGUACCAUGUGUUACAACCCAUAUGGGAUAUCUCUUAGGACCAGCCCUCUCCUUGUAUUCUAAGGCACUAUAGACCAGCAACUAACCUUGUAGGAUAUCCCUCAUUACUCAUAUACUCUAUUGACCAUUAGCAACAACUAAAUGAGUUCUUUCCUUCAACAUGGCUUUCAAACAUCUCCCUCACAUCACUUCACUCAAAAUGACUCAAUUUCUCAUAAAACUCUCAAAUACUAGUGUUACUUCAGCAAAGACACUAUCAAGGUCUUGCACUAACCUCAUA
rnacentral:lncRNA from 1 species